GAGACCGACUGGUGGUGGGCCGCGCUGCACGGCCAGGAGGGCUACGUGCCGCGGAACUACUUCGGGAUCCCGUCCAAAGUGCCUCCCAUGCCUACCACCAUCAUCACAUCCCCCAGCAAGCCAGCCACCUGCCCAGCCGGGCCUGGGAUGGGCCACCACACCACUGGAUAUUCCUGGGAGUCACUGCUGACACCAUCUCUCCCAGCAGUCUUGGGGUCUGGGUGGGAAACAUUGGUCUCUACCAGGAUCCCUGCCCCACCUCUCCCCAAUUAAGUGCCUUCACACAGCACUGGUUUAAUGUUUAUAAACAAAAUAGAGAAACUUUCCUUAUAAAUAAAAGUAGUUUGCACAGAAA
rnacentral:lncRNA from 1 species